GUUGGAUAUGCAGCCCACUGCAUGGAUGCCUCAGAACACUCAGUAUUGGUGGAUUUACAGCCAACUCCCAUGGAUGCCUGAGAACACUCAGUAUUGGUGGAUUUAUAGCCCACUCCCAUGGAUGCCUUAAAACAGUAUUGAUGGAUACGCAGCCCACUCCAAUGGAUAUCUUAGAACACUCAGUAUUGGUGGAUUUAUAGCCCACUCCCAUGGACGCCUUAGAAUACUCAGUAUUGUUGGAUACGCAGCCCACUCCAUGGAUGCCUUAGAACACUCAGUGGAUAUGUGACACACUUACAUGGAUGCUUCUUUUGGGGAAUAUUGUAUAGGUUAAAACUUUGGGCAAAUUUUCUCUUCCACAGUGUUUUCGAAUGAUGGAAACAGAAUGAGAUGAAGACUGUCCAUUGAUAUAAAUAGUAACUCAUUAUUUUUCCUCUUUGGGAGUUACUCCUCUGUCCUCAAAGCUAAUUCAAUGUGUGGGCCUUCUUUCUGAUGAGCACCAGGGAAUUGAGACAUUCUUCUUGGCCUUAACUAUCAGCUCAGCAGUGGUGAGCAGCAUGUGUCAUCGGUCGAGGAGCCAGUAUCCAGGGAAACCAGUCUUCAGAUGCAGUGUGUGCCCUUCACGAGGGACUCAGAAGGAUGAAGACCUAUCGUACCAAUGUGGCAGUUGAAAAGUGAAUUGCAACACAAUGAGAUAUAUUCACAUUAGGAGAGGAGCAGUACCUGUGCAUUCAGAACUGGAACUGCAGGUGUACCAUUACUGUUGAUAGAGGCAUCUCCUGCCGCGGUCCACCCAGCCUGAGCUGCCAGCCUGCCUAGCUUCUGCAAAGCCCCGAGUUGUCAUGGCAACCACUUCCUGAGACUUGAUACUCAUGCCUGCAGACUCUGGGUCCUGACUUAAAUAGUUUUAUUUUUUUUAAAAAGGCAUAAAUUGAUAGUGCAAUAAAAUCUGGUUUAAAG
rnacentral:lncRNA from 1 species